AGGCUAGUAGCUCAGGUGGUUAGAGCGCACCCCUGAUAAGGGUGAGGUCGGUGGUUCAAGUCCACUCAGGCCUACCA
rnacentral:tRNA from 1 species